rnacentral:rRNA from 1 species
UUAGGUCAUGAAUAACCUCGGGAAACUGAGGAUAAUGCUUGAUAGAAAACAAAUACUGGAAUGUUUUGUUUUUGAAACUCGGGCCUAAGGAUGGGGCUGCGGCUGAUUAGCUAGUUGUUGGUGUAAUCGACUAACAAGGCAAUGAUCAGUAAGGGCUCUUAGCGGAGAAGCCCUGAGAAGGAAUCUGAGACACUAUUCCUAGCCCUACGGGGUGCAGCAGCUGAGGAAGUUUUACAAUGCUCGAAAGAGUGAUAAAAUAAGCCAGAGUGUUUCUUUUAUAGAAACUUUUAUCUACUGUAAAAAAGCAGAUGAAUAAGGACUGGGCAAGACCGGUGCCAGCCGCCGCGGUAAUACCGGCGGUCCAAGUUGCAUCCACAUUUAUUGAGUCUAAAACAUUCGUAGCUUGUUUUAUAAGUUCCUUGUGAAAUCUUAUAUCUUAAAUAUGAGGCGUGCAAGGAAUACUAUAUCACUAGAGACCGGAAGAUGUAAGGAGUAUAAUUAAGGUAGCAGUAAAAUGCGUUAAUCUCAAUUAGACUAACAACGGCGAAGGCACCUUACAAGUACGGAUCUGACAGUGAGGAAUGAAGGCUAGGGGCGCGAAAGGGAUUAGAUACCCCUGUAGUCCUAGCAGUAAACACUGCUCACUAAACGUUAGUACCUCCUCGAGAGGUAUUAGUGCUGUAGGGAAGCCGUAGAGUGAGCUACUUGGGAAGUAUAGACGCAAGGCCGAAACUUAAAGGAAUUGGCGGGG